AGGUGAGACCGAGCUCCUGUCUGUUGCACACGCGCAGCAGCUUCCCGGCGCAUCCUUCUGCUCAUUGACGGGAGCCAGACAGCCCAAAAGUUCUGCGCUGGCCACCUCACACCCAGGUCCCAUAGACACUGACGGCGCCGAGGAGUCACCAUGAUUCCCACCACGUUUAUAUUGCAGAGUGGCACGAGGGUCUUCCCGGUCGCGCAGCCCCUCUCUCCUCGUCCUGCUGCAGCCCGCCGGAGCAGCUCGGUCUGCGGACUCUCCGAGAAACUGUGGAUGUGUUUGCGAUGUCCCUGGUGCGGUUCAGAGUGAGGAGGACAUGGUCUUUGCCAAGACAAAAGGAAGACUUUCUGUUUUGGUGUUGUUUAAGGGAGUGGGGUUUGCUAUGGCCUCAACAGACUACCAAGAAAAAGAAUGACUUCCAACAGCAGAAGACCUCACGGACUGAACUAAGAAGGGUAACUUGGAUUUGUGUUUGCUUUUGAUGCUGGAGCACGAAACUACAACGGUGAGCUCAAGAGGUGCACCCUCCACUGACUGAGCCAGCCAGACACCCCCUUAGGAUUGCUCUU